rnacentral:tRNA from 1 species
GCCUUGGUGGUGAAAUGGUAUACACGCAAGAUUCAAAAUUUUGUGCUAUAAGCAUGGAGGUUCGAAUCCUCUUCAAGGCA